rnacentral:rRNA from 1 species
AUUGAACGCUGGCGGCAUGCUUUACACAUGCAAGUCGAACGGCAGCACGGGUGCUGCACCUGGUGGCGAGUGGCGGACGGGUGAGUAAUACAUCGGAACGUGUCCAGAAGAGGGGGAUAACGCAUCGAAAGAUGUGCUAAUACCGCAUAUGCUCUGAGGAGGAAAGUGGGGGAUCGAAAGACCUUACGCUUUUGGAGCGGCCGAUGUCUGAUUAGCUAGUUGGUGGGGUAAGGGCCUACCAAGGCGACGAUCAGUAGUUGGUCUGAGAGGACGACCAGCCACACUGGAACUGAGACACGGUCCAGACUCCUACGGGAGGCAGCAGUGGGGAAUUUUGGACAAUGGGCGCAAGCCUGAUCCAGCCAUGCCGCGUGAGUGAAGAAGGCCUCGGUUGUAAGUACUCUUUCGGUCCGGGACGGAAAGUACG